rnacentral:antisense_RNA from 1 species
UCAUGGCGGCUGUUCGCGGGAGACAAGCUUGUCUGCCGGGUUCCGUGUGUCCCGGUUCGCCAACCUGCGUACAGCUGCCACCCU